rnacentral:rRNA from 1 species
AAAGGCAAAGACAGUGAUGCAGAGCAAAUCCCCAAAAGCAGUCUUAGUUCGGAUUGUAGGCUGCAACUCGCCUACAUGAAGUCGGAAUUGCUAGUAAUCGCGGAUCAGCAUGCCGCGGUGAAUACGUUCCCGGGCCUUGUACACACCGCCCGUCACACCAUGGGAGUCGGUAACACCCGAAGCCUGUAGUCUAACCGCAAGGAGGACGCAGUCGAAGGUGGGAUUGAUGACUGGGGUGAAGUCGUAACAAGGUACC